rnacentral:rRNA from 1 species
CCUACGGGGUGCAGCAGUGGGGAAUAUUGGACAAUGGGCGAAAGCCUGAUCCAGCCAUGCCGCGUGUGUGAAGAAGGCCUUCGGGUUGUAAAGCACUUUCAGUGGGGAAGAAAGCCUUGGGGCUAAUACCCUCGAGGAAGGACAUCACCCACAGACGAAGCACCGGCUAACUCCGUGCCAGCAGCCGCGGGAAUACGGAGGGUGCGAGCGUUAAUCGGAAUUACUGGGCGUAAAGCGCGCGUAGGCGGUCUGAUAAGCCGGUUGUGAAAGCCCCGGGCUCAACCUGGGAACGGCAUCCGGAACUGUCAGGCUAGAGUGCAGGAGAGGAAGGUAGAAUUCCCGGUGUAGCGGUGAAAUGCGUAGAGAUCGGGAGGAAUACCAGUGGCGAAGGCGGCCUUCUGGACUGACACUGACGCUGAGGUGCGAAAGCGUGGGUAGCAAACAGGAUUAGAUACCCCUGUAGUC